ensembl:lncRNA
GGUUGCUUUCGUUUGUUCUCCCACAAGACUUACAAAUUCUGUGUGCUCAGCUCUGGGGGUUUAUGUUUGCACCAUAGUAGCCCCUGUGCAGUUUUCUUCCUGUGCUUCGGAAGCUGGGGAUCCUCCCGGGCUCAACUACCCAUCCUGUUCUUGGCACUUCCGUCUCUCGCUUCUGGUCCAUAGCAGCCUCAGACCUGCCUUCCCUCCUCACAUCCUGCACUGAGUCCCUGGCCGUCAUCCACUCUUCCACUCAGGAAGCGUUCACUGAGUCCCACUGUGUACCGAGCCCCAACCCACUGCUGAGGACACAAGGUCAACAGCAGAUGACACACUCCCAGGACCUGAUGUGGCCAAGUCCUGAGCAUCUGGGCUUAGUCAGCAUGGGCUGUCAGUUGCUCAGGCCAUGUAACAGUGGACCACAGACUGUGGGCGUGUGAACCAUAGACAUCUAUUUCUCAGUCUGGAGCCUGGACCUCCAAGAUCAGUGUCGGAAAGGUUCCUGACACAGAGCCUCUAAGACCCUGGAUUUUCCAGCAUGACACAUGACUUUUUAUGUGCAAGGAGGUGACUCUUGGUGAAGCCCCAGGACUGCAGAAUUGGGCUGGUGGCCAUAGGACCAUCCUGUGACUAGACGGCUGGGCCUUUCAGCCCUAACCUGACCUCCCUGAGGAGAGCAAAGAGCUCCUCCCCUGCCCUCCCCAUCCUGUCCUUAGUGCCACUGGAAUUACUAUUCAUCUGUUUAUAUCACUGUUUUCUUGAAAAUUUACAUUAAUCCCAAUCUGCUGAGUGGGAGACUCUUGAAGCUGUCACUACGAUAUGUCCUUUCACAGCUGUGAGCAUCUACUUGCUUCGGGAACAAGAUACUCUGCACUCACCUCGCACUUGUCUCCACAUCUGGAACUGGCUGCUUCUCCAAGGAGCCUGGUUAACCGGGCAGAAGUGGGGGUGGCAGCGGUUCUUAACUCUGUCUCUCAGGGUCCUGGAUACACUGGAAAGGUGUUGAGGACACUGUGAGCUGUGCUUGUGUGUAUCAACAUUUACCACGCUAGAAAUUAAACAGAAAUUUUAAAAUAUACAUUUAUUAAUUUUAAAAGAACAGUAAUAAACUCCUCAUGUUAACAGGAAUAAUACACU